UUGAACAAAAAGGACUAAAUUGUAACAAAUGCAAAAUUUUGGGAAAUGAUUAAAUAGCUUAAAUGAUAAAAGGAAGAGGGCUUAAAAGACAAAUAGACCCAAGGUCUAUUUGGGCUGGACGGCAGAGGCAUGAAAUCAGCAAGAAAGUAAGGAGAAUUAAGGGCAAAAUUGGAAAAUUGCAAAUUUUGCUUAAUAAAGUUAGGACCCAAGUGGAAUUAUCUAGAUUUCUCUUCAUUUUUCUGAAUUCUCAUCAGCUAAAACACCAUGGAAGGGCUUCUUCAAGCUGGUUCUUCAUAUUUUUAUUACAAUUGAUUUCGUGGAACCUCUGCUAAAAUGCGCCGGUAAUGAUGACACCAUCAGUAUCAAGGUUGAUGACGGUAGCGAUACAGUUACUUUCAUAUUCGAGAGCCCAAGCAUGGGAUAAUGGAUUAAAGCAGAAGAUAAGAUACCAGAUUUUGAGAUGGCCGCUAAUGGAUAUUGAUAGCGAGCACCUUGGAAUUCCCAGAUGCAGAAUUAUCAAGCUAUUGUUACGAUUACUUCAGCCAAAUUUGCAAGGAUUUGUAAAGAUCUUGCUAGCAUCGUUGCAGUUGUUAUCCCUGUAACCAAAGAAGGUUCUCAGGCCAAACACCACUGUAGAUAAAACGCUUGCAGCAAGGAGCUACAAUUAUAGAGAUGAACGACAUUUGCAUUGAGGUAUAUGAAUUCAUUUACAAAGGCUACUCCAUUGUUUAAUAUGCUGACAAUCAGCUAGACUUCAGAACUGCCUGUCGUGAUCUCAAUACAAGAUGGCUGAGAUGGGUUAGAUCAGGUUUUACUUGGCACCCAAGAUUGAAGGUGAUAUGGAUGAUGAGACUUAGCCACAAGUCUUUAACUUGAUCUUGGCUUAAUCUCUAGAGAAUGUGUUUUGAUUUAUGUGGCCAUUAAUUUCCCCUGAGAUAAGAUAAACUAAGUGGUUGAUAGGUGAUAAUAUUUCUUUCAUGUGAUAGGAUUGCAAUUUCUUUAUUAUUUUUCUUUAUUUCUUAUAUUAUAAAGGCAACAGAUUCAUGUACU